UAGGGAAUCUUCCACAAUGGACGCAAGUCUGAUGGAGCAACGCCGCGUGAGUGAUGAAGGUUUUCGGAUCGUAAAGCUCUGUCUUUGGGGAAGAUAAUGACGGUACCCAAGGAGGAAGCCACGGCUAACUACGUGCCAG
rnacentral:rRNA from 1 species